UACGGGGGGGGCAAGCGUUGUUCGGAAUUACUGGGCGUAAAGGGCGCGUAGGCGGCCUUCUAAGUCGGACGUGAAAUCCCUCGGCUUAACCGAGGAACUGCGUCCGAGACUGAAAGGCUUGAAUCCAGGAGAGGGAUGUGGAAUUCCAGGUGUAGCGGUGAAAUGCGUAGAUAUCUGGAGGAACACCGGUGGCGAAGGCGGCAUCCUGGACCGGCAUUGACGCUGAGGAGCGAAAGCCAGGGGAGCAAACGGG
rnacentral:rRNA from 1 species